rnacentral:rRNA from 1 species
UACGGAGGGUGCAAGCGUUGUCCGGAUUUAUUGGGCUUAAAGGGUGCGUAGGCGGCUGUUUAAGUCAGCGGUGAAAUUCCACAGCUCAACUGUGGAACUGCCAUUGAUACUGGUUAGCUUGAGUACAGAUGAGGUAGGCGGAAUUGACAGUGUAGCGGUGAAAUGCUUAGAUAUUGUCAAGAACACCUAUUGCGAAGGCAGCUUACUAAGCUGUAACUGACGCUGAGGCACGAAAGCGUGGGGAUCAAACAGG